rnacentral:lncRNA from 1 species
CGAAAGUGCACGUACCAGGCGCGAUCACCAGGCGCUAGCGUUGAGGGGGGACUCGCGUCACAGUAACCGCCACCGUUGCCGGGGGACUGGCCCCAGCGGCUUGGCCCCCAGCCGUCUGUGGCAGUGCGUCCCCUCUCCGCGGGAUCGUCGCCAUGGUCCUGCGAUCCUAGGAGUCGGGCAAGGCGGAACCUGCCUGAAGAAACCUCAAGCGGAGAUUCAAGGAAGCACCACGUGAUCCCUAAGGAUCCCAAAGAUGCGUCGGGCAUGCAUGGGCGGUGUGAGGGUGCGUCUCCCUGACAGGUGUCCCCGCUGGGAUUUCGAGGAAUUAUCCGAUGAAAAGUAGAAGAGGUUGAAUGACUUUCAGUGGCCUUUUCUUCACAGGGCUCACCUGAAACUUCAUGUACCAUUGCACUUCCUGAGAAGCUGUCCCCAAUCCCAGGCUCCUAGCAAUGCUGUUCCAGUAAUCUCUCUUCUGUAAGACAGCCACUCCACCCACUGCAGUCUACAAGGAAAGCCUCCAUAGCUCUGGAUUUCUUUAGUACUAAGCUUCAGGAAACCAGCAACUUGCUUGAGAUGUGUCCCACUUCUCGUUCUGGGCCCAUGAAACUUGGAUGAAACUAUGCCUGCCAUCUGGUUCUUACUUCAGGGUCACGGACUUAAGAUUGCCCAUUCAUUCCUCUUUAAUAAGACAUCUUGG